rnacentral:rRNA from 1 species
UACGAAGGGGGCUAGCGUUGUUCGGAUUUACUGGGCGUAAAGCGCACGUAGGCGGAUUGUUAAGUUAGGGGUGAAAUCCUGGAGCUCAACUCCAGAACUGCCUUUGAUACUGGCAAUCUAGAGUCCGGAAGAGGUGAGUGGAACUCCUAGUGUAGAGGUGGAAUUCGUAGAUAUUAGGAAGAACACCAGUGGCGAAGGCGGCUCACUGGUCCGGUACUGACGCUGAGGUGCGAAAGCGUGGGGAGCAAACAGG